CAGUCGCCGCGGUAAUACGAAGGGGGCUAGCGUUGCUCGGAAUCACUGGGCGUAAAGGGCUCGUAGGUGGUUUGUCGCGUCGUCUGUGAAAUUCCGGGGCUUAACUCCGGGCGUGCAGGCGAUACGGGCAUAACUUGAGUACUGUAGGGGUAACUGGAAUUCCUGGUGUAGCGGUGAAAUGCGCAGAUAUCAGGAGGAACACCGAUGGCGAAGGCAGGUUACUGGGCAGUUACUGACGCUGAGGAGCGAAAGCAUGGGUAGCGAACAGGAUUAGAUACCCCCGUAGUCCCUGUCUCUUAUU
rnacentral:rRNA from 1 species